GCCUGCUGAGCACUGCGCGUGAGUGAAGAACGCCUUCGGGUUGUAAAGCUCUUUUGUUAGGGAAGAAACGGUACGAGGCUAAUAUGCUGGGCUAAUGACGGUACCUGAAGAAUAAGCCCCGGCUAACUACGUGCCAGCAGCCGCGGUAAUACGUAGGGUGCAAGCGUUAAUCGGAAUUACUGGGCGUAAAGCGUGCGCAGGCGGUUUUGUAAGUCUGAUGUGAAAGCCCCGGGCUCAACCUGGGAAUUGCAUUGGAGACUGGGGGGCUUGAAUCUGGAAGAGGGGGGUAGAAUUCCACGUGUAGCAGUGAAAUGCGUAGAGAUGUGGAGGAACACCGAUGGCGAAGGCAGCCCCCUGGGUCAAGAUUGACGCUCAUGCACGAAAGCGUGGGGAGCAAACAGGAUUAGAUACCCUGGUAGUCCACGCCCUAAACGAUGACUGCUAAUUGUCGGGUUUUAAUUAACUUGUUAACCCACCUAACACGUGAAGUACACCCCCUGGGGAGAACGGUCGCAAGAUUAUAACUCUCAGGGG
rnacentral:rRNA from 1 species